AUACAGAGGGUGCGAGCGUUAAUCGGAAUUACUGGGCGUAAAGCGCGCGUAGGUGGGUACUUAAGUCGGAUGUGAAAGCCCCGGGCUCAACCUGGGAACUGCAUUUGAAACUGCAUGGCUAGAGUUUGGUAGAGGGGAGUGGAAUUCCCGGUGUAGCGGUGAAAUGCGUAGAGAUCGGGAGGAACACCAGUGGCGAAGGCGGCUCUCUGGACCAAAACUGACGCUGAGGUACGAAAGCGUGGGUAGCAAACAGGAUUAGAUACCCUGGUAGUCC
rnacentral:rRNA from 1 species